CGGACCUGCCCCGACCCUCUGCCCUGCCUCCAGGUCGUCCCCCGGACCUGCCCCGACCUUCCAUGCUUCCAGACAUUCCAUGCUGUGGUACAGGAAAGAGAGCCCAGAGAGUUCCAGUGCCUCUGUGGAGCGGUUGAUGAGGUGCUGAGUGUCUUUCCAGCCGGAGUUCUGGUGGGUCCAGGCAGGGUUUGCCUCCACUGACAGACACAGGUUCGGGAUGCCAGGGGACGGAUGCUGCAAGGGUGGAGGGGGAGAGGACAGGGGCUGAGCAACAACAUCUAUUUUGUAAAAGAACGAUACUGCUGUUUCCUGUUGAAGUUCUUAUUUCUUUACAAUUCUUUACAAUUCCUUAUUUCAAGGCAUCUUGUGUACGUUUUGUUUGGUAAUAUACAUACACAGGUUUGGCUGUUGACAGCGGAACACGACAGAAGAGGGCAAGCUGAUAGCAUCUCCAACCAUCUGAACCAUCCCUCACUCAACACUCAGGAUAACUAGCCGAGCGGCCAAAAACAGUUCUAAUGUCUUUAUCUAGAGAUGGGAGGUUUCCAUUGAUCUAACAAAUCACCUUACUGCCUGACUGUCUGAUGAUCACUGGUGGUGAAUCAGUGAUGAAUGAGACACAACCACAAUAUCUUCCACAUAAGAACAUGAAGACGAGGCAGGGCAGUGAGGUAGAGGCAGGGCAGUGAGGUAGAGGCAGGGCAGUGAGGUAGAGGUAGGCCAGUUAGGUAGAGGCAGGGCAGUGAAGUAGAGGCAGGGCAGUGAGGUAGAGGCAGGGCAGUGAAGUAGUGGCAGGGCAGUGAGGUAAAGGCAGGGCAGUGCAGUAGAGACGUUUCUGUUGAGCUUUGAUUGAGCCUGUCUGUUAAGAGAUGACAUUUUUUACUGUCGCAGAAGCAUCUGUUGUUUCCUGUGAUUCCCCCAGGGGGCGAUAUAUACCCCAGCCCGCCCCCACCUGGCGGGCCUCUUGCCAGCACACCCCAGAGCUCCAUCAUCUGGGCCCGAGGAGCAGCGCUGUCCUCGUCGUCAACGUCGACGGUGUGACAUUACAGAACGGAAGCCUUCCAUUUCACGGCUGCCAUCUUCCCGGCUCGCACACCGGAUCCCAUUCCUCACACUGGACAGGUUUCCCAUCAGGGUUCUUUUCCACCGGUACGGCACGGUAAAAGAAACGGGGUGUGAUCUGGCUUUCCAGGAACAAAUCAUUAGGGAUGGAGAGCGGGGACCCGAGACAGGCUGGCUGGCUCCAAAUCGGAAAUUCUGAACUUCCAAACAACCCUGGACUACCCAGCUCCAUGCAGAGCCAGAACCCAGCAGUUCCAUCCUGUGGGAAUCUUCAAGCUGAACUCUCCCGUCUGUUUCCUGCAUCAUCUUCAUCCCUUUAAGGACGGAUACAGGCCGUCUCCAGCCCCUCCUCUCCCCAGGAAACCCUCUUUUGUCCUCCUCUUCUCCUUUCUUCUCUUCUGCUCCUGCUUUCUUUCCAAAUACCUGCCUUUCCUCCAAGUCACAGCCAAAUACCCAGAAUACCAGGGCAUACUUAUAAAAGUGUACCUUUUUUUCUGGCACGGCUGUUCUAUUCAAAGGGAUAUUUUGUCGCAGGGGUGAAAUCGGGAGUAUUCACUUGCAAAGUCUCUGUAAAUGUUUUGCUAGUAAAAAAUAUAUACAGUGCCCUCCAAAAGUAUUGGAACAGUG